CAAUAGCCCCACAAUCCCCCCCCUCCCCUCACUCCCCCGACCUGCCCUUCCGUGGAUUUUGCGCUCUCUCCGCCCUGUCUUCCCUGAACUGCCCGGAGCGCAAGAUGGCGCAGAAGUCGCUGCGGAGCAAGUCGAGGCACAAGAGCGCAGGCGCUCUGCGCAAGUCCGUGGGCGAGGCGAAGAGGAAGUCCACGUUCACAAAGGCCAAAAAGUCGCCAGAGGCGAAGGCUAGGGCAAACUACAUUAGCGCUGUCGAGGCCGCCAUGACAUCACGCGUGCCCUCCGAUCAAAGGUCGAAGCUGUCGAUUGUGAAGUCCAGCGGCCCUAUGGGGAAUAAGAAGAAGCAUAUGAAGAAACCUUUGACCCGUGGUCGCAAGCGCAAGGGAGACUAGUACGAUAUGAACACAGCAAAUGAUUCGAUGUCAAGGGAAGUGCCGAGGCAGAGAAGCGAUGGCGCAUGCUUGUGCGCAGUGUGUGCUGGUGUGUGCGUGUGCGUGCCUCGGGUUGCGAAUCCGCCUUUCGUGCCUCCCUUCGGUCUGGCUCUCUCUUCUGCACGUGUGCUUGAACCUUACAGUAGCGCCGCAUCGGUGUGCGCAUGGAUCGCUCUCGCCCCUCUCUCCAAUAGAGUGCCCCUAUGACGUGAGGGGACUCUUGACGGGAAGAGAAGUUCUCCAGCUGCCGAUGUUGCUGAGACAUGUGUGCCUACGGAGGCGCCAGCACGUAUCGUGGGGCUACAUAUGCUUUCUGUAGAGACUUGCGACGGCCUCGUACGUGCAUG
rnacentral:misc_RNA from 1 species